rnacentral:rRNA from 1 species
GCCAAACUCCGAAUGCUGGCAAGUGUAGCGUGGCAGUGAGACGGCGGGGGAUAAGCUUCGUCGUCGAGAGGGAAACAGCCCAGAUCAUCAGCUAAGGCCCCUAAGUGGUGACUCAGUGGGAAAGGAUGUGGAGUUGCGUAGACAACCAGGAGGUUGGCUUGGAAGCAGCCAUCCUUGAAAGAGUGCGUAAUAGCUCACUGGUCAAGUGAUUCCGCGCCGAUAAUGUAGC